ACUUCUCACAUGAUCAAACAUCUGGACCUUCUGAAACUUUGUGAUGCAAACUUGUUAUCUUUUCUGAGUUCUGACAUCUUGUAUUUGCAGGAUUGUAGGUGGUACUAAUUCUGUGCACAUUUAAUAAGGAGCUUUUUUACUUUCUUGUUUUUUACAUCAACAACUUACCUUGUAUAAUCACACAAGCGGGGUUUGUGAGCAGAGUAAAGUGUAUACAGACCUUUACCUUACCUAGUAAAGAUAGAGAGGCUGUUUCCGAACUUUCUUGCUUUUCAUCAUCUAAUAUCUCCUUGAUCUGUCAUUUGUGUGCCUGCAUCUAUUCCCCAGUGUUUCUCUGCUUUUCUCCCUAUUUGCAGUGAACCGUUGAGUCAGGUUACUAUGCUGGGAGCAGAUUUGUCAAAGGCUUGCUAAAGGCUGUGAUGGAGCCACCCUUGUCCAAAGGACACCCCUUCGCUGCAAAAUUACAAUGUGGAUAGUUAUGUCAAGUCUCUGCUCAUGACAUUUAACUGUCAUAUUGGCAUAAAAUGCUGGUUUGGUAGGAGCUUAUGAGAAACGCUGGUCCUAUAUCCGUAUUGGAGCCUGAUUAAAUUUGGAUUGGUGCAUCCAUAUUUGGGGGUGGCACUCCCAACACAAGAUUUUUUCCAUGUACAGGGGUUUGAACCCGAGACUUUUGGUUUAGAGUGGAGGAUUCUAAAAUCAUUCCACGCCAACCCAUCACUGGUGAUGUGUUGCUCGGGAAGAUUUAUACAAAUAGAAUCAUUGUGCUGUUAUUUAAUUUCCAAUUCCAUUUAAAUAGUUGUGAAAAAAUAACCUUCACAAAGUUUGAAGUUUUACCAAAGAUUUGAUACAAAUUGUGUUGUAAAUUUGGAAUAAAUUGUUGUGAGGGAUCACCAAAAAUUUCUAAUCGAUGGGUGUCAUAACACCUGACGAAUCACCAA